UACCAGCUCUCCGAGUGGUAGGGAUGAUUAUUGGGCUUAAAGCGUCCGUAGCCGGCUUGGCAAGUCUCCUGUUAAAUUCAGCGACCUAAUCGUUGAGCCGCGGGAGAUACUACUAGGCUAGGAGGCGGGAGAGGUCGACGGUACUUCUGGGGUAGGGGUGAAAUCCUAUAAUCCCGGGAGGACCACCAGUGGCGAAGGCUGUCGACUAGAACGCGCUCGACGGUGAGGGACGAAAGCUGGGGGAGCGAACCGGAUUAGAUACCCGGGUAGUCCCAGCUGUAAACGAUGCGGGCUAGGUGUUGGGGUGGCUACGUGCCACUUCAGUGCCGCAGGGAAGCCAUUAAGCCCGCCGCCUGGGGAGUACGGCCGCAAGGCUAAAACUUAAGGAAUUGGCGGGGGAGCACCACAAGGCGUGAAGCUUGCGGUUC
rnacentral:rRNA from 1 species